rnacentral:rRNA from 1 species
AUUGAACGCUGGCGGCAGGCCUAACACAUGCAAGUCGAACGAGUGGCAGACGGGUGAGUAAUGUCUGGGAAACUGCCCGAUGGAGGGGGAUAACUACUGGAAACGGUAGCUAAUACCGCAUACCAUCAGAUGUGCCCAGAUGGGAUUAGCGAGUGGGUGGGGUAACGGCUCACCUAGGAGACGAUCCCUAGCUGGUCUGAGAGGAUGACCAGCCAAACUGGAACUGAGACACGGUCCAGACUCCUACGGGAGGCAGCAGAGGGGAAUAUUGCACAAGGGGCGCAAGCCUGAUGCAGCCAUGCCGCGUGUAUGAAGAAGGCCUGCGGGUUGUAAAGUACUUUCAGCGAGGAGGCGUUACCCGCAGAAGAAGCACCGGCUAACUCCGUGCCAGCCGCCGCGGUAAUUC